rnacentral:rRNA from 1 species
GGCAAACGGGUGAGUAACGCGUAGGCAACUACCCUUCGGGAUGGGGACAACAGGACGAAAGCCCUGCUAAUACCGAAUGAAGCAUCCCUUCCGCAUGGAGGGGAGUAUGAAAGAUGGCCUCUACUUGUAAGCUAUCACCCCAGGGGAUGGGCCUGCGUCUGAUUAGCCAGUUGGCGGGGUAACGGCCCACCCAAAGCGACGAUCAGUAGCCGGUCUGAGAGGAUGAACGGCCACAUUGGGACUGAGACACGGCCCAGACUCCUACGGGAGGCAGCAGUGGGGAAUCUUCCGCAAUGGGCGCAAGCCUGACGGAGCAACGCCGCGUGAGUGAAGAAGGUCUUCGGAUCGUAAAGCUCUGUUGUUGGGGACGAACGUGCUUUUUGCGAAUAGUGGAAAGCAAUGACGGUACCCGACGAGGAAGCCACGGCUAACUACGUGCC